rnacentral:rRNA from 1 species
GUGGUUUAAAUUCGAUGAUACGCGAGAAACCUUACCAGGGCUUGACAUAUACAGGAAUGUUGUAGAGAUACAGCAGCCGCUUGCGGUCUGUAUACAAGGUGCUGCAUGGUUGUCGUCAGCUCGUGCCGUGAGGUGUCGGGUAAGUCCCAUAACGAGCGCAACCCUAUCAUUAGUUGCCAUCAGGUCAAGCUGGGGACUCUAAUGAAACUGCCUACGCAAGUAGUGAGGAAGGUGGGGAUGACGUCAAAUCAGCACGGCCCUUACGUCCAGGGCUACACACGUGCUACAAUGGCCGGUACAAAGGGCAGCUACCUGGUGACAGGAUGCUAAUCUCAAAAGCCGGUCUCAGUUCGGAUCGGAGUCUGCAACCCGACUCCGUGAAGUUGGAUUCGCUAGUAAUCGCGCAUCAGCCAUGGCGCGGUGAAUACGUUCCCGGGCCUU